rnacentral:snoRNA from 1 species
GAGCAGAUGAUGAAUGAAGAGAUAUCAUUAAUUGCUUAUUGGUUAUUCCAUGAAGCUAUCCUAAUCGAGCUUUUUAAAACUGAUGCUCA